UGUGUGGAAUAUGAUGAUUGUUUUAUAUGCUGUAUUAUAUGUUUUGUGUCACGAUAUAUGUAUGUUAUUUGGGUGUAAAGCAAAGCUAGUACUUGCUGUUGCUGAACUGUAGUCUUUAUCCCAAAAAUUAGAACACAAUUUAUUAUUAUGUAACUACAUUUCCUUUUAAUUUAAGAAGAACCAACAAGGAAGUACCUAGAAUAUCACCAAUAAAUUAUUUUGAAUCCUGCUAUUACUGCUACCAUAUUUUGUUGUAUAUUAUUAAAAAAGGACUACGACUUCCGGUUAAUUCAGUUAAAUAAAUAUUGGUAUGUGCUGUCAGACAAUUUGAGAAUACCCAGAAUACUAUUCUUGAAUCUUGGUAUUUAUUGUCUGCAAAAUAAAUAGUAAAUCAGGAAAUGCCUAAAAUACUGGUAAAUUAUCUUGAAUCCUGGAAUUACUACCACCUGAUUUUCUUUUAAUUUAAGAAAUAACUAGAGACCACUAGUAAAAUAUCUUGAAUAUUAUAAUUACUAUUACUGGAAUAUGAAGGACCAAGACAUCCCUACCAAUGAAUUAUCUUGAAUCCUAGUUGGUAAUUGUCACCAGAUUUUCCUUUAAUUUAAGAAGGACCAAGAAUACCAGCCAAUUAAUAGAAAUAGCCAUUUUUGAUUAAAAAAAAACUACUAGUCAAUUAUCUGAAAUAAUUAUUGUAUGUGUAUUGUCACUCAUUUUGAGAAUACUGAGAAUAUCAAUCUUGAAUCCAGGUAAGUAUUAUAACAAUAUUUUCAAAAAUGAGAAGCUUAUCUCAAAGGAUAAGCUAAUCCCCAACAGCAGGAUCGGGCAGUGCAAGCUGAGCUACGAAAGGACGAGGAAGGACUCUCUCUCAAUUUUGCUUGAAGGCACCUGCUCUUUUUUAUGUAAAUGGCAAGGAGAGUUGGAUUUCCUCUUGCACUGGAACGGGCAAAAGCUGCAUGACUGUUCCGGCUGUUUGCCGCAUUCGUACCGGAGAUGCUGCAUCAGAUGUGACUUCCUCUUGUAGCUCCUGUCGCAAUUUUGGCAAAAGUGUCUAGCUAUAAAUGAAAAA